GUUGAUUUUUAUUGAACACAUCUGUCUAAGCAAGAGUCUGGAAAUGCUAGUUUAACUUGUCACGUGACAAAUCAGAUCUUCAAUUAAUUUGGCCAAAUCAGAUCACUAUAUAUACUAUAAUGAGGACUGCUGUAUUUUAGCAUCCACACCAACAAAUGAUAAAGUUCAGUUUAUUAUUAUACACGCUGCAGUUAAGUUGUUGUCUGCCACUUUAAAUGCUCAAGCUCUUUAAAGUCAGGUGAAUUCUGAUUGAUCAGCUGGAAAAUUAAUUCCAAUUAUAUUGUUCCUCUGUCUUUUUAAAUGUUAAAAAAAUGAAAAUAGAUUCUGAUGAUGUUGUUACUCUGUCAUUAAAUGUUAAAUAGCUGCGGUAUAGACUCAUGUUUAAAAUAAUUUAUAUAAAUAUAGCUUGAUACAGCUUUUUCUAAAAAAAAAAAAAAAAAACUUUUUCGUUAAACUUAAACACACAAUUCUGCCUUUCUUUGCCUAUUUCUCUUCAUCUUAGUCCUUUACUCCGUCACUCACUCAGACAUUCUUUUUGCUCUGUUGUAAGGUAGAAACAGAGAGUUUUCAUGAUGGCCUUUUUCAGUUUUGUCAACUGAACAGCUGCUAGUGAGGGUCAGCAAGUUCUUGUCAUGAUGAGCACUCGCCAGCCAAAAUGGAAGACCAAAAACACAAAGAAAAUCAAUCACAGCAAGCCAGUCAAACCAGUCCUGUUGGGAAUGAACAUGGUCUUCUUGUGCCCAAACAGAGAAGACAGAGAACUGAAAAUUUGCACAUUUCCAUUGCUCCUAGAAUGAGCAAAUCAGCUGUGCAUCAUCUCUGGGAUUUGGGAAGGAAAUGACCGAAUAUGGAGGAUGAAGCCAGUUGUUGAAGAUAUCAAUUCAGUGGCCACCAAGUGAAGCACUGCUGCCUGAACCCAUCAGAUAUCUGCUGUGAAGACUGCAUUCAAGAACAGAUCUACUGCGACAGCUCAGAUGUUACGGCCCAUAAAAGAAACUUACCAACUGAACAACUGCAAGAUAGUGGUAGCCCAUACCUCCAACAACAUUCAACAGGAAUCAAUGGAAAGUCCAGUGCAACAAUUAUAAAUAAUAUUAUAUAUUGUUUAUUGAUUUACAGCACCCUAAAUGAUUUUGUUCCUUCAGGACAUCUACACCAGGUGGUUUGUGAAAAAAGCACGGAGGACCAUCAGACUCCAGCCACCCCAACCAUGGACUGCUUUCACCAUUACCAUCAACAGUACCCGCACCAGCAGACUGCGAGACAAGUUCUUUCCACAAGCAAUCAGACUGAACUGAACUCGUACCAUUAACACCACACACACCCCACCAACCUCUUAUGCACUGCACUCCAUCACUUACAUUACUGGACUCUGACUCACUAUUAUUCUGCACCCUGACAUUCUGUU